CCUGAUAUUCUAAAUCCUGAAUUUCAUAAAUUUUUUUUCUAUCAUUAAACCUAUUCUACACCUGAACAUGAAUCUGUGAUACAAGGUGAAGUUCAGAACCAUGUAAGCCGGAAUAAACGUUUUCUGAAUCGGGGAUCUUAACCUUUUUAACCUCUUAUCUCAAAAUAAUAUAACACUUUCAGGGUCCUUUCCGAGCUUCAAGAACAUAGUUUAGUGAUUGAGUUCUCGAGACUUUCAGGUUCCAUUCAUCCAAAAGUUCAAGCGAGUUGUGUUCUAAUAGAUAUAUCUAUGAUAAGAAUCGAUAUUCGAGAGUUACGGAAGUCAGAAGCACACGCAGAGAUCAAAGCGCUAAGGUUGUCCGAGAGACAAAUAGAUACAGAUUCGGCCCACUGGAGUAUUAUUUCCGAGGGGUUGCUCUCUUUUUAUUGCAGCUGAAAUCAAUGACAGAGAAAUCAAUACCAGAGUUCUUUAAAUUUAGUUCUGUAUGGAAACCAUCUGAGCGUGGCGAUGACAUUGAGAUACUGAUUAAUGAGGAAAGAAAAUAGUACUUGAGAAGAAUCAGACUCAGCUUGGUUCUUGGUAGAAGAGGAGUCUUUGAUGGUGUCAUGGAAGUUCUGCAUCAGCAUUGAAAGCGUAAAGAGAGGUUGCAUUUGUUUGAAAACUUCGAAGCAUACUGUGAUUUAAGGAGGAACCUAUAAGGUGGGGAGAACUUCAAACAUCUUUCACCAAAACUGAUGGCACAGAAACUUUUGAGGAAAAGAACAGCGUUACAAAGGUCUGUUUCUGCGAGUAGGUGUCAGUACAAUGAAUGGAAAAAUCUUUCUUAUCAUUAAUUUGACUGAGAGAAUACUUUUACAAACCCCCUUGAAUGGAUCGUUACUCAGUUAUGUUGUUGCAGUCACUAAAGUUCUUUGCUUACAGGAGAAAGUGCCAUUGAAUAUGUGAAGGACUUUGGUAGAUCAUCAAGACUCUUUUUGAGUUAAUUUGGUGCAAGUGGGAGCUGUAACAAAAUUAAGUUCUUUGGCGGGAUCACAUUAUUUUUUAUUGACUGUGGUAUUAUAGGAAUUACUCCAAUGAGAAGCUUGGCAAGUGCUUUGGGUCGCCUAGAUCUACGUUGAAGUGUGACUGGAGCAGCACAAUAGCUGCAACAUCGAGGACGAUAAUGACACGGGAGUAUAGCAUAACUUUAUACAAACUAUUUUUGAACUCUGUUUUUGCAUACAUUUUUUAAAUAAUGAUUUGUGAAGUUGAGGUACUCUCCUUCCUAACAUGUGGUGUGUUUUCGUAGUUUAUAAGUUGGAUUUUAGUUUUUAAUACAUAAAAGACUAUAAUGUUUGCUAUUGUGAUCAACACCUUUUUACAAUACUCUGUUUGUAUCUUUUUUUAUUAGUCAUCUUCCUGUUCUUUU